rnacentral:rRNA from 1 species
UGGGGAAUAUUGGGCAAUGGGGGAAACCCUGACCCAGCAACGCCGCGUGAAGGAAGAAGGCCUUCGGGUUGUAAACUUCUUUUAUCCAGGGAGCGAAGGAAGUGACGGUACCUGGAGAAAAAGCAACGGCUAACUACGUGCCAGCAGCCGCGGUAAUACGUAGGUUGCGAGCGUUGUCCGGAUUUACUGGGUGUAAAGGGCGUGUAGGCGGAGAAGCAAGUUGGGAGUGAAAUCUAUGGGCUCAACCCAUAAACUGCUCUCAAAACUGUUUCCCCUUGAGUAUCGGAGAGGCAAGCGGAAUUCCUAGUGUAGCGGUGAAAUGCGUAGAUAUUAGGAGGAACACCAGUGGCGAAGGCGGCUUGCUGGACGACAACUGACGCUGAGGCGCGAAAGCGUGGGGAGCAAACAGGAUUAGAUACC